AACGCACCUUGCGCCACGUGGUAUUCCACGGGGCACGCCUGUUUGAGUGUCACGUUAACCAUCGCGUCGCGAAUGUAACAGUUUGCGGGGCGGAUUUGGGUGUUGCCGUAGUUGGCUCGCCUCGAAAUGCAUUAGCUGUCUAAGGACCGCGCCGUUGGUGUGAUAAUUUGCUUUGCGCCGCUGGUGUUGGACCGAGUUGAUGGCUCACAAACCGUCCGCGAGGACAAUAUAUUUAAUGCCUUGGCCUCAAAUCAGGCGGGACUACCCGCUGAACUUAA
rnacentral:misc_RNA from 1 species